GAUGAACGCUGGCGGCGUGCCUAAUACAUGCAAGUCGAGCGAACAGAUGAGGAGCUUGCUCCUCUGACGUUAGCGGCGGACGGGUGAGUAACACGUGGAUAACCUACCUAUAAGACUGGGAUAACUUCGGGAAACCGGAGCUAAUACCGGAUAAUAUAUUGAACCGCAUGGUUCAAUAGUGAAAGACGGUUUUGCUGUCACUUAUAGAUGGAUCCGCGCCGCAUUAGCUAGUUGGUAAGGUAACGGCCUACCAAGGCAACGAUGCGUAGCCGACCUGAGAGGGAGAGCAGGCACACGUGAACAGAGACACGGUCCAGACACCGACGGGAGGCAGCAGUGGGGAAUAUUGGACAAUGGGCGAAAGCCUGAUCCAGCCAUGCCGCGUGUGUGAAAAAGGUCUUCGGAUUGUAAAGCACUUUAAGUUGGGAGGAAGGGCAGUAAGUGAAUACCUUGCUGUAUUGACGUUACCAACAGAAUAAGCACCGGCUAACUUCGUG
rnacentral:rRNA from 1 species